rnacentral:misc_RNA from 1 species
GAUGAAGAACGUAGCGAAAUGCGAUAAGUAAUGUGAAUUGCAGAAUUCAGUGAAUCAUCGAAUCUUUGAACGCAUCUUGCGCUCCUUGGUAUUCUGAGGAGCAUGCCUGUUUGAGUGUCAUUAAAUUCUCAACUACACUGACUUUGAAUUGGUGUGGCUUGGAUUUGGGGGGAAAAUUGUUGUGGGCUUUUUGUAUAGUCUGCUCUCCUGAAAUUGAUUAGCGGUACCUUUGUGGAACUGUCUACAGGUGUGAUAAUUAUCUACAUCUUAGACAUCUGCUGGAAUGCUGCUUUCUAAACCUUACUUGUAUUGACAAUCUUGACCUCAAAUCAGGUAGGACUACCCGCUGAACUUAAGCAUAUCAAUAAGCGGAGGA